rnacentral:misc_RNA from 1 species
GUGAAUCAUCGAAUUUUUGAACGCAAAUUGCACUCUCUUCGGAGAGUAUGCCUGUUUGAGGGUCAGCCUAUAAAAAAUCGACAUAGUUGCUGUUUCGCGGUGGCAUUCGUCGGAAAUUGGGUCAUCUUAAAUCUUUUGGUUUUUAAGGGCAUAAAAUUUUCCUUUUGGUUCCCUGAACGUUUCUAAGAUUUAUAUUUUUUCACGAUUUAUGUCU